AUGUUCUCUGUAGCUCUGCUGCUGCUGCUCGCUGCUGGAUCCUGUGUGAAGUGUGAGCAGCUGAUACAGCCACCCUCUGUGAUUGUGCAGCCAGGUCAGCGUCUGACCAUCACCUGUCAGGUCUCUUAUUCUAUGGGCAGCUACUACACAGCUUGGAUCAGACAGCCUGCAGGGAAAGGACUGGAGUGGAUUGGGAUGAAAAGUAUUUGGUAUUCAUACUAUAAAGAAUCACUAAAGAGCAAGUUCAGCAUUGAUUUGGACACUUCAAGCAACACAGUGACUUUAAACCAACAGAACAUGCAGCCUGAAGACUCUGCUGUUUAUUACUGUGCCCGAUACCACAAUCUGAAACCUGAGCUGGAGAAGAUCAACAUAAGCAUGGACAGAGCAGAGAAUCACAGAGUGUGCGCCCACCCCAACCCUGAACUCUUGUAA